AUGAGCCCAAUAUAAUCACAAAGAUCCUUAUGAACUGAGGAGGGAGACAGAAGAGGAAGUGUCAGAGGGAUGCUUGUGAGAACUACCCAACCGGCCACUGGCUUUGAGAAGGGAAGGGGGCCAUGAGCCAAGGAAUGCGGGCAGCCUCUAGAAGCUAGAAAAGGCAAGGAUAUGGAGUCUCCCCUCCAGUCUCCAGAAAGGAAGGUAGACCCACUGAUGCCUUGAUUUUAGCCCAGUUAGGCCCACUCUGAACUUCUGACCUCAGGGCUGUAAGAUAAUAGAUACGUGUUGUUUUAAGCCGGUGUUGAGUGGGUCCCUUUGGCUGGCUGCUCUAUGAAUGCUGUCCUUCGUGCAUAAGAACUAGUCUAAGCUCCCAAAGAGCUGGAUGCUAAUCCCUGUCCUGAUACUAACUCACCCUGGGACAUUAAACAGGUCAAAAAACUCCUCUUGGGCUUUUCUCUCUGUAAAUGGAGGCCUUAUCUAUCUUUGUGUGUGUUGGGUAGGGGGUGGGCUGACAUUCAAUCAACACUUACCGACUCAUUCUAUGUUCAGUUCUGAACUGGGGGCUGGGACACCAAGAUGAACCAGAUCUAGUCCCAACCCCAUCCCAAGCAAGAAGUUUAAGAAGCUCCCAUUCUGGAUGGGGAAAUGGUUAUGUGAGCAGAUAAUUCACAUGCAAUGCAAGGACAUAAAGAUAGAUGAUUAUGCAAGUACAGAGAGAAAUAUACAGGCCUACCUGCUGAGGGCAUGGUCAGAGAAGGUUUCCUGGGAAAGGUGACAGCACAGCUAGGAGCAAAACCCCAGAGAUGUGAAUCAGCACAGCGUGGGGACGGACGUGCAGGCAGUUUGGUGGUGUUGGCUUGGAAACUGUGUGUAUAAAGGGGAUUAAGUGGGAUGAUGGCCAAAGGUAUGACGUGAGCAUAAUAAGGCUGCAUUAUCAGUCUGUGUCUCCCAGACCAGGGCUGGGACAAGAGAUGGUAUGUAACCAAAAAUUCCUCUUGACCUGGCUUGAAGUGAUCUCUUCUAACUGUCUCAUCCUCACAUUGCCCCCCAGACAUGUGCCAAAGGCCUGGCAGCUUCCCCAGCUUACUGCGGGGGAUGAGGCCGUGCAAAAUUACAGCCACUACGAUGAGGCCGGCGUGACCUCAGGAGCUGGGUUUCAUCAUUCUGAAAUCAUGCUCCUGGCCUUAGUCAGAGCCAGAGAGGUGGAGGGGAGAGGGUGGGAAAGUGAAGCGGGUGGCAGCAGAUUUGGGCGAGGUGCCAGGGCUGCAAAAGGAAGCAGCUGGGACAAGAGCAGGGGGUGAGAGUCCAGCUCAGAUGCUGUCCUUCAGGCUGUGUGACCUCAGGCCGGCUCCUCGCCCAUCCUGGGUUUCUCUGGGCAGCACAGGUCCUUGGUUCCCAAGGCCUGUUCCCACUGGAGCCUCCUUGUGGAACGCAAGAACCUAAGGGCCCUUUGUCAUCAUUUCUGUGGAUGUGGCCCUCUGUGGGUGAGGAGGAGCUCCUGGCAGGCCUGCCAGGGUUUAAGGCAGGGCCCCACCAGGAGGCUGCUCUGAAACACCCACACUUCCAGGAUAGUGGUGCCUUUGUGAAUGGAACUGGCUUCUGUCAGGGACAAACCUAUAGAGAGAUCUCUAAGCUCUGGGUUAUGCAGCCCACACUGCCCAGAGGUGCUUCAGAGGUGCUUCCUAUUUGUGUUCUG
rnacentral:lncRNA from 10 species